AGGGCAGGGAGAAAAGGGAGACCAUAAGGCUGGGCACCAGGGCCUGCAGCCAGGGAAGACUGCCACGUCCAACCCCAGGGUGGGGAGGCAUCCCAGGAGCAAGGAGACAGUCACCCCACGGGAUCCCCACGCCUGGAGGGAGCAAACAGGCACUGUUCUUUAAACUUUUUUUAAAUUCAGGGGAUUAUUCAAAUUUGAGAGAUGUUUGAGCUUUGGCAUCUGACCAAAUCUAUGCUUUGGGUAGAAGAGAGGGGUCGAGAGGGCAAAGCCGGAGAGGGAGGGAGGCUAGGAAGCCAGUGGCUGACUGACUCACAGGGAGCACGUAAGUUAGAAAUAAGAUCUCCUCUCCAGAAGGCGAGCAGGGGCGGCCCGUGCAGCCUUCUCUGCUGCGGCCUGAUGCAGGGGGGGGGAGCACCCGAAGAACAGCCGGACCCGGCAGCCCGUUCACCCAGAGCUGCUCGGGCCCCGAACCUCAGCAAAGGCUGCCUGGGAGAACGCCGGGCUUCCAACUCUGUGCACUGCUUGCCACCACCAGCUUCGGUGGAUAUCACUAAGUUUCUGGUGUCACGUUGUGCAGGGUCACACCCAACCUCAGUCCUGAGGUGUGCCCACAGACCACCAAGAAACCAGGGCUGAGAAUGGCUGGUGUCACCUUCAGCCUGCUCAGGUGGUCCUGACUGCCAGGUACGCAGGGUGGACACCGCUGCCCCACAACACUCCCUGGGCACAGAUCCUCCCUGGCGGUCUGCCCAGUCGCCUCCGGUCACCUCCCUGCUAUUUUUAGAAUGGGGAUGGGCAGAAGUUGGGGGCGGCGAGGAUCUGUAGUAAUGAUACAUUUCAUUUCAUUCAUUUCCAACCCCAGAAGCUGAAGACCCAGAGGCAGGAACGAAGCCAUCAGGAAGCAAACACUGCAUGCAAUUCUGGGAACAGCAGGAUUAAAUGGAUGCCCAGGAGCAGGCUCAGUGCCCAGUGAGGUUUGCAGAAGACAACACAUGCUCACGAGGAACCCUCUCAGAGCAGCUGACGCUUAAGCCAAUGGCAGACCUGGGAUCUGACGCCCCCAGGGACUUCUGCCACAUCUUUUAAGAGCUGCCUUUGGCCGAAACCGUCCACCCACAAGAGAUGCUGUGGAUGGAGAUGCACAAACGGUGACGAGGCAUCGCCAGACAUGAAAUCAACUCCCUCCCUUCAAGGAACGUGAAGCUGUGGACACACAAAGACUUACAAAACCCAACUCUCCUGAUUCUGAAGGACUUCUGAUUAGAGUUUAUGUCGGUAAUAUUCCAUAAGGAUUUACAACCGGUAUUCUCACUGCGAAGAGCGCCAACUGACUUGGCUGGAGUCCUCAAUGGAGAAACUGGAAUCCAGGUAGUCUGCAACGACGGAGCCGAGUACCACUUCAAAGAGCUGCCGGGGGCAGAGGCCCCAGACUGACGAGCUGCCUUCAGCUGGGUGGGCCCAGUACGCUCUCCAGCUGUCUUGGGGACAGGCCAUUAGGGCUGCUCGGGAGAUGUGCAACUACUUGUCAUGUUCUGAGCUCACAGUCAUGCUGGGAGCCAGAAAGGGUUUAUAGCAUCUUUUAAGGCAGGGCUGGGAAGCAGUCCUUUAAAAAUGCAGCUUGGGGUCACUUACACGGGGCCUGCCAAAUGUGGACUGUGCUUUGGGAUUCCUGCAGUUCCCUGGGAACUAAGCUGACCCAGGGUGGGAGGCGGCGGGUAUGGGGGGAGUCAAAGAAUUUGGAGGUGAUGGGAGGAAAAGCUGAUUCACACCCACCCACCCAGAUGGUUUUUAAAUCCCAGGCAUCUUUUCCUUUACUCAUCUAUGUUGAUAGAGAAGUGAAUAGGUUUAUUAUGUCCCUUGUGCCAGGUGGAGUCUGAAUAGAACUGGGAUGUGUGGCAGGUACAGCCCUGCUUCCCACCCAGCUGGAAGCUGCCCCCAAACUGCUGUGACCUGCACUCCCAAUGCUCUGAUCUGCGCCUGAGCUUCUGUAACCUGCCCCCCCGGCUGCUCCCACCUGCCCCCCUGAUGCUCCCAUCUGAACCUUGCCUGCAACCCCACCCUUACCUGCACCCCUGCCCUCACCUGCAGCCCUGCUGCUCUGACCAGCUUCCAGCUCAUCUAAUCCUAACCAAAGUCCUCUCCUGUGUCUGGAAUCCAUGAUUUGGAGGGAGGAGCUGCAGCUUUUAGUGCAUUUGAAAGGGUCAUUCGAGAAACCCAAGCAAGUGUAAUUUGACUUAGAAGCCUACACAGUGCUUCCAAAAGCAAACUGGCUUGUGGAAGAAUGAAGUCAUUUGGAUUAAAGGAUUCACAGCCUGGGCCGACCCCAGGUAUUCCUAAGGAGGAGUCUAAAUCCCAGUUUCCACACGGCUUCCCUUGAAGCCAGGACCCAUUUGUGUUCACAACUCCAAACAGCCAUCGUAACCCUGAUGGAGCAGGCGCUGUGCCCAGACACCCUCAAACCCUCCCACGGUCACAGACCCUUCCCGGGGCCCACAGGCAGUGCUGCUGUCACUCCACUUUGCAAAUGAGAUGCUUGGGGCUUAGAAAGAUAGUACGAUCUGUCCGAGGUCACAUGGUGAGCCAGCUACUCUCAGGGUCGAGCUCAGAAACACGGCCCACUGCCUUUCAGAUGUCAUGGUGUUCCAGUCCACCAGGGCUGCUGUAGCAAAAUGCCACCAACUGGUGGCUUAUAAAGAGAAACAUAUUGUUCACAGCACUGGAGGCUGGAGGCUGAGACUGAGGCGCUACCUGGCGCAUUUUGGUCGCGACUGCUCCCUGGCCCGCAGGCAGCCCCAAUGGCUGUGUUCCCACGUGGUGGAGGGCAGGGGCUCUCUGGGCCCUGAUCCUGCCAGGGCAGAGCUCCUCCGAACAGCCCUGCCUCCUAAAACAGCCCCUUGGGGGUUAGGAUUUCAACACUUGAAUUUGGGGGACCAGCCAGGUCUGUGUCCUCACGCUGGCCCAUUCUGGCCAUGACCGUGGUGGGCUCUGCGAGUUCACCAGCACACGUGAAUAUAAGGAUGCCGAGACCCAGAGACUGGGACAUGCGUGUGACUCUCAGCGUGUGUGUCAGUGAAAGCGCCCCUCGCCUCCAGUCCUGCCUUCUCAUGAGGGGCGGGCACACAUAGGAGCCUUACCUAUACCGAAGCCCCACAGCCACCGUGCGGCGGGCAAGGACGUACAUCUGAGUGCCUCCAUCCCACAGACAGAAAACAGGUCCACGGUGGGGACUUCCUCGCAGCCUGGCCAGCCCCGUGCUCCCCAUGCACAGGGACAUCCCCAGGGUCAAUGUUUGGAUGUCUUCCUAUUUAAAAAUACACACAAUUUCCGUGGGCUCUUCGCACACAGCUUGUGGAGGGGCAGGGAGAGGGAGGGGAGAGAAAGGGGCAGUGGAGGAAAAGACGGGGAGAGAAGGGCCGCAGGAGCUACUCUGCCCCUGCCCCUGGGGGCACCCUUUCCAUUCACUUUCUCUGCCUGGGAAGAACAUUCCAGGAGCAAGGGGAAGGACCUGGUCCUGACACAUGCGCAUUGACAUUUGUAAGCACAUUCAAGCGAAAACUGACUAAUCCCGGAGCUGGUAGACUAAUUCCUCUGAGGCCGUAUCCUGUGCCUUCUGCUCAGAUCAAGCUCCCCCUGUGGCCUCUAUCAAAUGCCCCAGGGACAGGAGCCACUUCCCAGCUCUCACGUGGGGCUGCUCUUCCCACUGAGCCACGUCCGUCCUCAGUCCUAGCCCUUCAUCCAGAGAGCGUCUGUGCCCUCCGUCCCGCCUGGAGAGUUCCACCCUGCUCCCACAGAUGUUGCCCCAGACUGGCUCCCAACCAGCCCGGGAGGCCACAGUGCCAUGUUCUCUUAGUUGCCCACCGGAAGUGGGUCUGGUUCUAGGGGUGGCACUUGGAAGAGAACAUGGACAAGAUGAUUCAGCAGGCACGUCCCCCUCUGGACUGAACUCGUGGCUUUCAGGGAACCCAUACACCUUACCGAUCCCUCCUUUCCAGGUAGUGGACGCAUCAUAACCAGUUGGGAAGGACAGUCUGGUUUCUGUUGAGUAAGUAAUUGAUUAUGACAUGAAUUAAUUGAUCUGGACCUGAAUUAGAAGGUGAUGUUGUCAUAAAAACAUCUGAGUCAACUCUGGGGCCCAGCUGGGCCUGCAGGAAACACAAGAAUGCAGCCCUUGCUCAGAGCUAGGGACGUCGGAGCUGCAGAUUCGGGACUCUGCCCCCCUCCUACCACAGCGCACGCGCCUUCCAUCGUGGCUGCCCUCCUGGGGCACAGACUCCACCCUCAACACCAUCCUCGCCAUCCCAAAGGGCCUGGGACCCCUGCCUGCGGAGCCCGAUGGAGCCUCGGAAGCCUUGUCACCCCCUCUACCAAAGGCCAGUGCCGUCACUGGGGGCAAUCGCCUGCCUCGUAAAUCGUCGAGUUGCUCGUGCAGUAACCUCAGCCAACAUCAGGCAGCUGACAGCAUCUCCACAGGGCUGCUCAUCACCGAUCCUGCCCCUGCGGCCAAAGGACAAGAGGUGGAGACACCCAAAGCGUCACUUGAGGCAUGUGGGAGUAACUUUCUUUCCAGAACCACCCAUGCGUGCCAUUUGGCAAGCUGGAGAAGUCCCUGUCUUGAGGUUUACACUCCCGCAGGGCGUCUU